AGAGAUCAUGGCUCAGAAUCAACGCUGGCGGCGUGCCUCAGACAUGCAAGUCGAACGAUUAAAGCUCCCUUCGGGGAGUGUAUAGAGUGGCGCACGGGUGAGUAACACGUAAGUAAUCUACCUUUGAGUGGGGAAUAACAUCGGGAAACCGAUGCUAAUACCGCAUAAUGCAGCGGCACCGCAAGGUGACAGUUGUUAAAGGAGCAAUUCGCUUGAAGAGGAGCUUGCGGCAGAUUAGCUAGUUGGUAAGGUAAUGGCUUACCAAGGCUACGAUCUGUAUCCGGUCUAAGAGGACGGUCGGACACACUGACACUGAAUAACGGGUCAGACUCCUACGGGAGGCAGCAGUCGGGAAUUUUGGGCAAUGGGCGAAAGCCUGACCCAGCAACGCCGCGUGAAGGAUGAAGUAUUUCGGUAUGUAAACUUCGAAAGAAUGGGAAGAAUAAAUGACGGUACCAUUUAUAAGGUCCGGCUAACUACGUGCCAGCAGCCGCGGUAAUACGUAGGGACCAAGCGUUGUUCGGAUUUACUGGGCGUAAAGGGCGCGUAGGCGGCGUGGUAAGUCACUUGUGAAAUCUCUGAGCUUAACUCAGAACGGUCAAGUGAUACUGCUGUGCUAGAGUGCAGAAGGGGCAAUCGGAAUUCUUGGUGUAGCGGUGAAAUGCGUAGAUAUCAAGAGGAACACCUGAGGUGAAGACGGGUUGCUGGGCUGACACUGACGCUGAGGCGCGAAAGCCAGGGGAGCAAACGGGAUUAGAUACCCCGGUAGUCCUGGCCCUAAACGAUGAAUACUUGGUGUCUGGAGUUUUAAUGCUCCGGGUGCCGCCGCUAACGUUUUAAGUAUUCCCGCCUGGG
rnacentral:rRNA from 1 species